UUUACUGUAUGCUCGGAAAACCUUUUGGAAUUCACAGGGCCCUCAUGUUUAACGGUGUUUUUAUCGCAGCCAAUCGCCGUUUUUUCACCGCAUACGUGCCAAACACGUUAUAUCUGUCGGUAUGUACUGCCAUAAGAUGCUGAGAUGUACUCGUACCAUCCGAUAGGUGUCGUUUCGGCUGAACUUGUUCCAGAGAAGACUUAUCAGAGCAUUUCGAUACAACUACUGGUGUGUGCCUAAGUAUGAGUGAGGGGUCACGGUAGUAUCUGUAUCUUCUAAUGUGUUACGUUCAUGUGUAACAUUAUCCGCAAACAUCGAUGUAUUAGACAACCUUUAAAACGGGCGUCUCCUUCUGAAUGCCACU